AUGCUGGAGAUCUACACUUUGAAUAGUGAAUGGCCUGAGAAAAGGAAGCAUUUCCAGGUGCAACAGAAGGAGGACUUCACAUUUGGAAAGACUGCCUUUCCUGCUGAACUCCAAAGGGGCAACAACAGCAGUCAUUGUCAAGGAAAGUUUUGGAACAUCACAAGCAGUGUGACCCUUCUUCUGGGUAAAACCUUUGAGGAAAAGGAAGCUGGAUCGUGUAGCAGGCUGGGUACCAGAAGCAGUAUAGCUGACCUCGCACAUUAG
rnacentral:lncRNA from 1 species